GACGAACGCUGGCGGCGUGCUUAACACAUGCAAGUCGAACGGUAAGGCUCCAGCUUGCUGGGGUACACGAGUGGCGAACGGGUGAGUAGCACGUGGGUGACCUGCCCUGCACUUCGGGAUAAGCCUGGGAAACUGGGUCUAAUACCGGAUAGGACCGCACCGUGAGGGUGUGGUGGAAAGUUUUUUCGGUGUGGGAUGGGCCCGCGGCCUAUCAGCUUGUUGGUGGGGUAAUGGCCUACCAAGGCGGCGACGGGUAGCCGGCCUGAGAGGGUGGACGGCCACAUUGGGACUGAGACACGGCCCAGACUCCUACGGGAGGCAGCAGUGGGGAAUAUUGCACAAUGGGCGGAAGCCUGAUGCAGCGACGCCGCGUGGGGGAUGACGGCCUUCGGGUUGUAAACUCCUUUCACCAUCGACGAAGGGUUUCUGACGGUAGAUGGAGAAGAAGCACCGGCUAACUACGUG
rnacentral:rRNA from 1 species